rnacentral:lncRNA from 1 species
GGGAGGAGCUGGGGCAAAGCUGACGGGGAUGGCUCUGAGGCCCUGGGAGCCCAGGCCAGAUGGGCUCAGCCAGCUCCUUGGUGGAGGCCAGGCAGUGCCCUUUUGAGCCCCUGACCUAGGCCAGGCCGCGGCGGGAGGCAGGGAGCGGGCAGGGCCUCUGGGCCGAGUCCUGCACCUUGGGGCGACCGCCCAGGCCCGCUCCCCUCCUCCAAGCCACCCUGGGACUGGUGGCUGAGUCCCUGGGGGCAGUCUUUGUGGGAUGUUUUCUGCAGGUGAGAGGAAGGAUCCCCGCCGGGUGUCUUGCUGCCUCUGGCACCUGACCUGUUCCAGACAAAGCCACCUUCCGCUCAGAAGUCUUUUCCUGUCCUCUCCCAGGCAUAGCUGCGGCAUCCCCUGCUCCGCCUGGCCCGAGUGUCAGGCCCUCGUGUCUGUGAGUUCUGGUGGCACUCUGUACCUGCCCGCCCCGUCCUCCCCAGGGCUCGUCCUCCCCAGGGCUCUUCCUCCCGGGCGGGUGGCUGCUGUCCCGGAGACCGUGGCCCCUGCAGGGGCGCAGAGUCCCUUGAAGGCAAGGACAGAGUCUCCUCGGCUCUGUAAGCCCGGUGCCCGGUGGUUGCUCUGGAAAAGUGGCCUCGGCAGAGGCCUGCUCUCUCUCCCAGGGGGCUGCGCGUCCUCUCUCCUUCCAGAAGCCCGAGGACACAGGACUGCUGGCCAUGAGGUCACCAGCAGAACUCACGGUGCCCGCCGCCCUUCUAAGCACUGGCCUUUGGGCCCCUUCUAGUCCCCAGCGACUGGGAUCCAUCCAGCGCCCGGCUCCAGCUGCCCCCUGGGAACUGGCCAUGCCCACGCCUGGGUGCUCCCCUCCCUGGCUCUGCCAGCCCACCCAGUUUGGCCCUGGCCAUCGUCCUGCCCCUCCCUCCUGCUCCAGGGAUUCCUCCCCGGGCCGCUCUUCUCUGCGCCUGGCGCCCGCCCUGCUCUCCUCCUUUGCAGAGAGCCUGGGGUGGCAUCUUUGAGGCCCAGAGAGGGUCCCAGUGCGCAGCUGCCGCGUGUUCUGGGGCCCCCCGGGCUGGGAUCGGCUUGACCCCGUUUCCCGGUUGCCCGGGAGUCCUUGCCAGGGCCGCUUUCCUCUGGGAGAGGCCUUUGGCCCGUCGUUCUACUGAGCUGCUUGUCAUCUUUGUGCCGAGUCGUGGGAGCUCUUCCUGGGGUCUGGGUGGGAAUGCGGCCUGGGGCCUUGUGUUCCAGCCGCUUCCUCCUGCCCCUCGCGGGCCGGUUUCCUCCUCUCUUUGCAGGCCGCUUUGGACGCGGGGUUCGCCUAGACGCUCUGAAUUGGAAGCGCCCCAGAGGUCGGGGAGUGUCCUACCCGCUGCGGGCCCCUGGGCCACUCCCAACCCGCGACGUGGGGCGGCGGCCCCCGAGGAGGAGGUGGCCUUGGGUCCAGCUCUGGGGCCUUGAGGAAGGGCCCCUUCUGGUCUGUGUAAGUGACUGGGGCGCCGCCCGGCUUGCGUUGCGCAUUGCCCCCCCCGCAGGACCGACCACGGGCGGCCGCGCAGCCUUGUGUCCUCUGCCCCAGCUCUCCCUGCUCGCCUGCCCGGAUCUGGGCCGUGGCC